rnacentral:rRNA from 1 species
ACGAACGCUGGCGGCGUGCCUAACACAUGCCAGUCGAACGGAAAGGCCCUGCUUUUGUGGGGUGCUCGUGUGGCGAACGGGUGAGUAACACGUGAGUAACCUGCCCUUGACUUUGGGAUAACUUCAGGAAACUGGGGCUAAUACCGGAUAGGAGCUCCUGCUGCAUGGUGGGGGUUGGAAAGUUUCGGCGGUUGGGGAUGGACUCGCGGCUUAUCAGCUUGUUGGUGGGGUAGUGGCUUACCAAGGCUUUGACGGGUAGCCGGCCUGAGAGGGUGACCGGCCACAUUGGGACUGAGAUACGGCCCAGACUCCUACGGGAGGCAGCAGUGGGGAAUAUUGCACAAUGGGCGGAAGCCUGAUGCAGCAACGCCGCGUGCGGGAUGACGGCCUUCGGGUUGUAAACCGCUUUCGCCUGUGACGAAGCGUGAGUGACGGUAAUGGGUAAAGAAGCACCGGCUAACUACGUG